UUACGAUCAAUUUGGAAUGUUGGAAUAUGUUGUAAAUUAAUUAACCUACGUAGGGUAUUAUAAUUUACAUGUCCAAGUCUACCAUGCCAUAAAUUAAGUGACUCAAUGAUAUAAGCAGAAGAAGUAUUAUUCUUAUUAUUAAUCAUUGCAUUGGACUUACUAGAGAUGGCAUUAAUUUUCCACAUGCCAUUACAAACAUACCCCUUUCCCACAUACAUUCCCC
rnacentral:lncRNA from 1 species